AUUCGGUUUGAAAACUAAGCAGGAACAGAAAGCGUUUGACUGUUUUGAAAAUUUCACUUUUCAGUUUUGUUAUUGUUUUCAAUUUUUGUUAAUUUCAGUAAUAGCAUUGACACAAAGGGAAUUAAUAAUAGGACUAGUUUUCAAUAGUUUUCCAGUAAUUCAUACAAAUAAUGUUUUGUACUUUGCUAUGAACACUUACUAUUUGCGAUGGAGAGAGACGAAAAAUUUGAAAAAGGUGAUUAUGACGAUAAAUUAGAAAAAAGUUCAGCUGUGAAUAAUUUAAUACUAGAAUAUUAUAAAAAGUUUGGAAAAAAACGAGAUUUGGAACAGUUCUUCUCGCUAUCUACAGCCCAAAACGAAAUAAGGGAUCCAAGUAGUUCAUUUUGGAGGAAAAUGAAAGCAUUGAGUGAUUCUUCUGACUCUGGAGAAAAAAAGAGUGAAUCCUCAACAGAACUUUGUAGGAUUUCCAUAAAAUGUUCCAUACCAGAGCCCUCUGGUUUACAAGUUCCGAGAGAAACUGUGCAAACAACAGAAUCUGAUUCACCACCUAUAAUUAAUGAAAUACUUGAAGAAAAAAAUUCCGACAAUGAAUCAGAAAUCUCAGACGAUGUCCAUUCACUUAAAUCCAAAGAUGGAACUCUAGAUACAUCUAUGAAUAAACCACAUUCGCCAACAAGUAGUGUGACUUCUCAACGUAAACUAGAAUGGGAUUCAUUGGCUGAUGUUGGGUAUGGUAAUGAAAGUGACAAGAAAACUUCUGCAUCAAGUUUAAGCACAUUAGAGCGACUGGCUUUGCAGCAACAGUAUUGUAUUAAUGACACACAACAUAAUGAUCUAGGGGUUCCUACAGCACAUUCAACGCCUCUUGAACCAAAUGAUAGCAAAUCAAAAGGCAAAAAAGAUCUUAUAAAGAAAACUACAAAAAUAUUUAACAAAGAUGUUGAUCAUGUCCAAUUAACAUUGCCCAAUAUUCCAGAAACAAGUCAAGCAUUCAAUUUGAAUCUUACAAAACACAUCACCUUCAAUGUUGAUAAAAAGGGUGAAGUUAACAUUGAGAAUGUGACUAAAAAUAUAUCUAGUUCCCCUGAAAAGGUAUCUGUUGAAACAGAAAUGACACAACAACUAAAAAUAGACAGAGAAAUACAAACAACCUUGUUGAAAGAGGAUAAAUGUAGUGGAUCAAAUGAUAUUCCUACAAAAACAAUGCUUAAGUUUCCAGUGCAUGUCAAUUUAAAUACUUUAAGAAAGAGGAACAGAAGAAAAAAAUUGAAGAAAGUAAGAAGAAAACAUAAAGAGAAACGGCAGGCUGUUGCUCCUACUGAAUUAAAUCAAGCACAUAAAAGUGGAGAGCAAAUAUCUGCUGCAGAAAGUUUUGAAUACAUGCCUGGACAUAUCUAUCAUCAGAAUCAAAUUAAUAAUGAUCAUAAUCAGCUUCGCAAUGUUUCGCAAGUUAGGAGUGACAACAAAUCCAGUUUAGAAUCUAGUGCUGGACACACUACUGACUCUAGCAAAGACAAAAAUUCCUUUGUGAAAGAUUUAGAAAAAAGCAUUGACCUACUUAAAAUUACUCUCAAUAAAAAACACACUGAUGAAGGUCUGAAGAAAAAGUUGAUUAAAGAAAUUGUUCAACGGCUUUUGAAAUCUAAAUACAAAGAUGACGAAAGUACUACAGAUUUUCUUUCUGGAUUGAGUUUUGAUAGUAAAAAGCUAGACUUAGCAGGGGGCAAUCACACUACAACAAGUACAUCAGAUCCAAAUGACACUGGUGACAAGAAGCUUAUGAAACCAAAGAAAUCUAUACUACGCACUGAUAAAUUCAAUUCCAAUGUUUUACCUUCUACUUCACAAAGUACUCCCAAUUUACCUUCAGUAAUUAAUAAUGAUAUCCAUAUACAUCCUCCUACUAAAGUACAUGCAACAUCUAAUACAAAUUCAGAUAUAUCUGGAAAAUAUACAAAAGCAUCCUCUGAAGAACUCUAUCAAAAAUACCUGAAAGCUUUACACAGAGAACAGGCAUAUAAACAACAUUUGAAAGAAAAGGAAUUACUUUUUAAACAAAAACUAGUUGGCUCAGACAUAAGAAUUAAUUCUUAUAACCAACCUGACCAAAAAGCUCAAAAUAGAAUAAAAGAUUUAAUGAAAGAUUUGAUAAGAAAUAAUUAUGAUGAUGGAUCUGGUGAUGCUAGUAGACUGGAAGGUGGAAGUAAUACUCAUUUGAAUAUAGAUGUACUAAAUCCAUUAAGAAAGCAAAGAAGCCAUUCAAUUUUCACAUUAUCAUCUGGUACAUCUGAUAGUAACAAGAAGAAUAUGAAAUUAAAAAAUAGAGACCCAGUAGAGGUUGCCACUGCUUCAUGCAGUAAAAAUGAAAAACAUUAUUGUUGUUGUCCAUAUCAUACAUCGCAUGGUAAAUUUGAAGUUACAGAUAGCUCGGUGCAAGUGAAUUUACAAUGUUGUGAUAAAAAACAAAUAUUUGAUGAUGGACGAUUUAAAGAAAGUCCUAAAUGUAGCCAUCAAGUUCCACAUAUAACACCUGAUUCAAAAACUAGAAAUAUUCAACAUGUUUGCUUAUGUCCAGACAAGCAUGCUCAAAAUAAACCUGACAGUGCUUACAGAUGUAGAUGUACACAUUUCAUUAAUAGUGGUCUCAAAAUACAGGAUAGAGAUCCACAGUCAUAUAGUCAACCUUGUUUUAAUUUGGAUUGUGGUAGAGAUCAUAACACUGCAUGUCUCAUACCCACUGCUACUAAAACUAGCAAUCAAAAUCAAACUUGUGAAAGGAAAUGUAUAAACACACAAGAAAGUUCGAGUUCAAAAUCAUCACAAACAAAUUUGGAUUUAGAGCGAAUAUUGCGUCGUAAAUCAAGCUUAAAAAGUGUUGCGUCUUCAUUAUCAGACAAUGUUCCUUCUUUGAAGGAAGAUUGCCAUGGUUUUCUGGAUACUAAAGCACCAAAAAAACAAGCAAACAAAAUAAUUCAUGAAGCUAUUAGAUGGACUCAAACUGAGAUAAGCAUUAAUCCUAAGAUUUCAGAUCCAUCAUUCUCUGAUAUUGUCAUAAUUGAUACCAAAGAUUGUGCAAAAUUAAUAAGCAAACAAUGUAGAGAAAUUUCACCCUUGACUUCAGAGAAUAGUAUGAAAACUUGUAUAGAAGAAUUUAAUAUUCCAUCUCAUAGUAAAGAUAACAGUCAAGAUAAAGACACUCUUAUAAGUAAGCAAAAAUCUCCAAAAACGAUUUCGGUUAAUAAAUCUUCAGCUGUUUUGAGACUGGAUAAAGAAAUCCAAUCAGACGUAGACCUUAGUACUUUUAACAAUGUUGGUAGUCAAGUGAAUAUGCCUAAACUUAAAAACUUUACAAUCCCAAUUCAGGGCACAAAUAUGACCCUAAAAGUAAGUUUAGGCAACUCUGAAUCAUCGUCAACAGCUGAAAUAGAUACACCUUUACCAGACAAGUCAAAUCAAGAAUUUAUAACCCAUGAAUCAAAGGAAACUCUUACCAAUAAACCAGUUACUGUAGAUAAUUCUACAUCUUUACUAGAAGAAUGUUCUAAAGGUGUACAGUCUAAUGAGCUUCAUGUAUCUGAAGAACCUCAUAUUGAACCAUUAGUAUGUAAUAACGAAACUUGCAUGGAAACAUGCAAUAAGACUAGUAACAUUAAUGCAAAAUCUUGUGAUGUUGGCUGUUUUGUUGAAGAUAAGAAAUUUAAUACAUACCCUAAAAGAGAACACAUCAAUCCGUUAAAACCUUUACUGCGGUCUAACACUGAUAUAGGAAAGAUGGAAAAGGCUUCUCAUGUAUCAUUUGAUCAAACUGCAAAUGACAAUGGAGAUCGUCAAAAUAUUUGUGUUCCUUUAGAAAUUGCUGCUAAAACUGUUUCAACCGAAACUGAAGAAAAACAAACUAGCAGUACUAAUCAAUCUUCUAAAAUAAGUAAAAUUUGUUCAAGUUCUAAAGGUACUUCUGAAAGUGAUUCCCAAACCACAUGUUCUAAAAUUGAUUGGAAAAAUUCAGGUGAUAGUACAAAUGAAAAUACCAACAAAGAUCCAUUAAUUGAUCUGAUUAAAGAUAUAACUAAAAGAUACUCAAAGAAAGACAUUGAAAAGAGUAAGAGAAGGAAGUGUUUCAAAGAACUAUUAACAGUUCUUAAUUACUUACUAGAUACAGAAGAUAGUAGAGAUAGUACUGACCAUGAACACAAAGUCACACAAGCAUUUACUUGCGAAACUAACAAAUGUAAUGAGGAAAAAAUACCUGAAACAAAACCUACAAAAACAUAUGUAGAUAAAGCAAUACAGCUAACAAAUAAAAAGCCGAAAAAAUGUCAUGCUGAGUCAUCUGACCCUACAUCAACAGAUUUGCCAACUACGUCCACCGACUCAGCUGCAUGCCAAGUCUUAAACAAAAUAAAGAAAGAAUGUGAAAAAUACUAUCAAAAGAAAUGCAAGUCACAUGCAAGCAGGAAAUGUGAGGCAUCCAGUAGCACAUCAGUAAAUUGCGAUCAAUGUAGAAGAGUUCACCAUUGCUAUUGCAAAGGAUAUAAAUGCCAUAAAAGUAAAGCACCUGCUGAGAAAAGUAAACGUAAAUGUGUGGCAUACAACUUGAUAUUACAAAGCGAUAGCUUAGUCAGCGAAGAAACUACAUGUGAUAAUAAUGUCCCCCAACUUCGUAAUAUUGUAAUAAAAGUACCGAAGCGAAAAACAGACAAUGUUCCGUUCAGAGAAAUGACUGCGAAAUUUGAAAGGGAAUUCCAUAACAAUAUUCCUCAUUGUGCAAGAGUUCAUAGAUCAAAGAGUCUUCCAAAUGAUAGCGAGAUAUCAAGUACUGAUGAGAUGUUCAAAAAAGCCCAAGCACUUUCUGUAAGGGAGUAUCUAGAAAAAAAUCGACCAGACUUUGUUGAAAGGUGCUCUGAGCGUCAGAAUUCUCUUAAGAUAGUGAAAGAAACUCGGUAAGUUAAUUUUGAUAAUCAAUUUCAAAUAUUCACCAAUUUUUCUUACUUCAGGUCAAAUGAAACAUCUCCUAGAAUGAACAUGAUUGUAGUGCACACACCCAAAUGCAAUACUAAUCCUUGCAUGGAAAGUUGUAAUAUGUACUGUGGAGAACAAAUGAAAGGGCGGCGAAACUCGAGCUGCUGUCAAUGCAGGUGGCCCACCAACCAGCAUUAAAGGAUUUAUCUGAAUCGGAACUAAGAUUAUUUGCCAAGGCGCUCAGCAAGGAUCUUAGAACG
rnacentral:misc_RNA from 1 species